rnacentral:lncRNA from 1 species
GGAGGGAGUUGGGAGGAAAGCGGCGGCGGUGGCGGCUUCAACAGCAGCUCUUGCCCUUAAGGAACAAUGAAACACAAAGAUGGUGCAGACCCAGGCCCUGCUUUGACUGGGAGAAAGAUGCAUUCAGUUGACUAAAACUUGAAGCUUGGUGGCAUGCAUGUUUAGUCCCAGCUACACAGCAGGGAGGCUGAGGCUGAAGGAAUACUUGAGCCCAGGAAUUCAAGACUAGCCUGCACAACAUAGUGAGACCCUGACUUUAAAAUAAAUUUAAAAAAAUUAAAAGCAACAAGACUUUCUGCUUGUAUAUGAUGAUGUUAGUAUGCUGACUUACAAGGUUAGAUCAUUUUGAUAUGUGUGAUGUAGGUUUUCAAAGCUGGCACUGUUUUAUGCUUCAAAUAUUAUUUUUAUUCAUUGGUUCUCAUGGGAUUUCAUCACUAAGCUGUAAAUCAAUAAUCAUAAUGUUGAGGGGAGGGGAUUACAAAAUAGCUCUUCAAAAUCAUCUUUGCAUUUCUCAAUAAACAGCAUUCCCUUUUGGACUACAGUGAAAAAUAUUGAGCUUUGUUUACUUUGAAAAUGAGUCUUAGUCUAUGAAUGCCUGGGUAGGGUCAAGAAUGAAAAAUGAGAGGAAGAGAGAAGCAUCAGGAAGAUAAAAUGAUCAAUCUCACAAAACUUGCUAUUUUUAGAAAGCAUCAUUCUAAUUUUGAAACCAAAAAAAUGGGGAAAAACAGAGUAAUGGAAUAAUAGAAUGCCUCAUGUACAAAAGCAACAAUUUCAGAGAUGAUCUAAAACAACUUAUUAGUUAUAGGAAGAAAUAUACCUGAAAAGGGCAAAAAUAAGUUGGGUUUGGCCUCUUGUCACUGAAAUUAUCUACUAAAUCUAACAGCAUCUAUGUUCCUUUAGCUGUUGUGUAUAUUGUACACAAAUGUGAAACCAUAACUCAUAUUUUACCUAUAACAAUUUGCAAUAAAUAACUAAUUA